ACGCCAGUCUGCAUGGAGCCGACCUUGAAAUACCACCCUUUAAUGUUUGAUGUUCUAACGUGGACCCGUAAUCCGGGUUGCGGACAGUGUCUGGUGGGUAGUUUGACUGGGGCGGUCUCCUCCUAAAGAGUAACGGAGGAGCACGAAGGUUGGCUAAUCCUGGUCGGACAUCAGGAGGUUAGUGCAAUGGCAUAAGCCAGCUUGACUGCGAGCGUGACGGCGCGAGCAGGUGCGAAAGCAGGUCAUAGUGAUCCGGUGGUUCUGAAUGGAAGGGCCAUCGCUCAACGGAUAAAAGGUACUCCGGGGAUAACAGGCUGAUACCGCCCAAGAGUUCAUAUCGACGGCGGUGUUUGGCACCUCGAUGUCGGCUCAUCACAUCCUGGGGCUGAAGUAGGUCCCAAGGGUAUGGCUGUUCGCCAUUUAAAGUGGUACGCGAGCUGGGUUUAGAACGUCGUGAGACAGUUCGGUCCCUAUCUGCCGUGGGCGCUGGAGAACUGAGGGGGGCUGCUCCUAGUACGAGAGGACCGGAGUGGACGCAUCACUGGUGUUCGGGUUGUCAUGCCAAUGGCACUGCCCGGUAGCUAAAUGCGGAAGAGAUAAGUGCUGAAAGCAUCUAAGCACGAAACUUGCCCCGAGAUGAGUUCUCCCUGAGACUUAGAGUCUCCUGAAGGAACGUUGAAGACGACGACGUUGAUAGGCCGGGUGUGUAAGCGCAGCGAUGCGUUGAGCUAACCGGUACUAAUGAACCGUGAGGCUUAACCUUAC
rnacentral:rRNA from 2 species